AACCAUAUAUAUGGACCAUAAUUUGCUAUUGGGCUCGUUUCCUAUAACGAUAGAAAAGUGAUAAAAAUGUGUAUUACUGUAAGAAAAGUUGUAACUACAUCUAAAGAUGCCUUUAUUUUUAUCAACAUACAAGUGUAUGCUACUCUUCCCUAGAAAAAAAAUUGAAAUUAACAAAUUUCAAAGAUUAUACGACCGUAUUUUUGUGUCGUUUCUCGCGUUACUUUUCGCUUCCGAAGUGCAUAACGCUGACUGAUUUAUAGAUAAUCGUCACCGGCAAAUUCGUAACUUUUGCUUUCAAAUAAUAAAGAACAUCGACCAAUAAGAAUAGUCAGAAGAAAAUGCCGAGAACUAUAAGUAUUUCUGUAGCAGGUGUAAGAACACUAGCGUUACUUUGGUUUCCAAUUUCGUAACGCAAAUUUUAGAUGAUGUAAUCUGCUUUGUUGUAAUAGAAUUCUUUAUAACAAUAUGCAAAUAUGAACUCUCGCGAGAUGUUCAAACAGGUAAAUCAGAGAUGAUUUACAUUCUAGUUUUGUUCUUCGUAAUAAUUAAGUUAGAAAAUGACGUUAUCGUUAUGCGUUACAUUUCAAACGAAACAGAAGUCCAGUUAUUUCCUUUUUUUUUAUUAAAAUUGUUUUUGUCGUUAAGUUCUAAUCAUUUCCGGUCAUACGUGAAACAUGUGACUAACAUGUGAUCACGCCCUUACGGCCGGAUGUAUGAAAUACUAGGUCUAAACAUUGUUUUUGUUUCCAACGGGAUGUUAGCAAACAUAAUCUGUAGACUUGUUUCGUCUUGUUUAAAAAAGGAAAAUACAAUUUUCAAAGAGAUUGCGCCGGGGGUCUAUUAUUUUUCCUAUGUGCAUAAUGUUACAUACGAUCUUGUGUGAAAAUAAAUGCCCAAUGACUUGACAAAAUCGAUUUCAGAUUUGACAGACGUUAUAACACACUUUGUUUCCUGAUAACGAUGUAAAGGGUCCUUGGAAAAUUCAAUAGACAUUACGUCUCUUAUCAUUGUGCCGAUGCUCGUUAGAUUGAUUUUGCUUCAGCAGUAAAUAUUACUGGAUAUUUUAGGUGAAUAAAGAUAAUUUAAUAAAAAAUACAUGUUAAUAUACCGUUACACUUGGAAUGUACAAAGUUGGUAUCUUUGUCACAAUUUUUAAUUAUUUUUUUUUAUUCAUGUUCU
rnacentral:lncRNA from 1 species